UCGAGGAUCUUCGGCAAUGAGCGCAAGCUUGACCGAGCGACGCCGCGUGCGGGAUGAAGGCCCUCGGGUUGUAAACCGCUUUGGUCCGAGAGUAAGACGGGUCACACCGUUUGAACAAUCGGAGAAACAAGCACGGGCUAAGUUCGUGCCAGCAGCCGCGGUAAGACGAACCGUGCGAACGUUGUUCGGAAUCACUGGGCUUAAAGGGCGCGUAGGCGGCCGGGUUGGUCGUGGGUGAAAUCCCCCAGCUUAACUGGGGAAGUGCUUACGAUACUGCCUGGCUCGAGGGAGGAAGGGGCGGCCGGAACUGUCGGUGGAGCGGUGAAAUGCGUUGAUAUCGACAGGAACGCCGGUGGCGAAAGCGGGCCGCUGGCCCUCUUCUGACGCUGAGGCGCGAAAGCCAGGGGAGCGAACGG
rnacentral:rRNA from 1 species